GUGGGGAAUAUUGGACAAUGGGCGAAAGCCUGAUCCAGCCAUGCCGCGUGUGUGAAGAAGGUCUUCGGAUUGUAAAGCACUUUAAGUUGGGAGGAAGGGCAGUAAGUUAAUACCUUGCUGUUUUGACGUUACCGACAGAAUAAGCACCGGCUAACUUCGUGCCAGCAGCCGCGGUAAUACGAAGGGUGCAAGCGUUAAUCGGAAUUACUGGGCGUAAAGCGCGCGUAGGUGGUUUUGUAAGUUGGGAGUGAAAGCCCAGGGCUUAACCCUGGAAUUGCUUUUGAAACUACAAGACUCGAAUUCGGGGGAGGAUAGCGGAAUUGUCAGUGUAGCAGUGAAAUGCGUAGAUAUUGACAGGAACACCAGUGGCGCAAGCGGCUAUCUGGACCGAUAUUGACGCUGAGGCACGAAAGCGUGGGGAGCAAACAGGAUUAGAUACCCUUGUAGUCC
rnacentral:rRNA from 1 species